rnacentral:rRNA from 1 species
GCUAAGAAUAUUCCGCAAUGGACGAAAGUCUGACGGAGCGACGCCGCGUGGAUGAUGAAGGCCGAAAGGUUGUAAAGUCCUUUUGCUGGGGAAGAAUAAGCGUGGGAGGGAAUGCCCGCGUGAUGACAUGAACCGGCGAAUAAGCCCCGGCUAACUACGUGCCAGCAGCCGCGGUAACACGUAGGGGGCAAGCGUUGUUCGGAAUUACUGGGCGUAAAGGGCAUGUAGGCGGCCUUGUAAGCUUGGCGUGAAAGUCCACGGCUUAACCGUGGGAUUGCGUUGAGAACUGCGAGGCUUGAGUGACGGAGAGGGAGCUAGAAUUCCUGGUGUAGGGGUGGAAUCUGUAGAUAUCAGGAAGAAUACCAAUGGCGAAGGCAAGCUCCUGGCCGAUGACUGACGCUGAGGUGCGAAAGUGUGGGGAUCAAACAGGAUUAGAUACCCGAGUAGUCC